UCAUAAUGAAAAAAAAAACAAUUAAAGUUUUUUUUUUAUUUCAUAAAUUUAAAAAUAAGGUUUGCAUAUCUAAAAUAAAACUAUAUAUGCAUCACCUUGGGUGUAUUGGGGUGCUGAUUAACUAUUUUCAAUUCAGUUUAUAGUUAAACUGAUAUUGCACCCUUGAACCAUUCGUUUUACCUUUUUCUUCACCUUUUUCUUUUCCCCUGCUCAAAGGCCAAGAAAUAAUUAAAGACUCAAAAUAUUUAGAAUGAUAAACGCCAAUCUCAAAAGAGGUUAAGAAAUCUUAAAAAAUCAAGGCCAAGAAAGAUAUUUUUUUAUGCAAGAAAGAUGAAUCUUAAUCUCAAAAGAGGCCAAGAAAUCUUAGAGAAAAAAAGGAGGGAGAAUUAACGCGAUGGUAAAGGAUGAUGAAAAUUCAAAAAUGCAAAAGCAAAACAUUAACAUACUUACCAUCAAUGUCCUUCAAAAAGCUCUCUUCUGUUUUUAGUGGUUUUGCUUAUAACAGUGAUUAAUUCGAUAAGGCUCUCUUCUGUUUUUAGUGGUUUUGCUUAUAACAGUGAUUAAUUCGGUGUUAUUUUAAAAUUUGAAGGACAUUGAUGGUAAGUAUGUUAAUGUUUUGAUUUUGCAUUUUUGGAUCUUCGUCAGCCUUUACCAUCGCGUUGAUUCUCUCUCCUUUCUUUCUUUAAGAUUUCUUGGCCUCUUUUGAGAUUGACAUUCUUGCAUGAAAAAUAUCUUUCUUGACCUUAAUUUUUCAAGAUUUCUUGGCCUCUUUUGAGAUUGGCGUUCAUCAUUCUAAAUAUUUUGAGUCUUUAAUUAUUUCUCGACCUUUGAGCAGGGAAAAGAAAAAGGUAAAGCGGGUGGUUCUAGGGUGCAAUCUCAGUUUAACUAUAAACUGAAUUGGAGAGAGUUAAUCAGCACUCCAAUACGUAAACAAACUCAAGGUGAUGCAUAUAUAGUUUUAUUUUAUAUAUGCAAAGCUUAUUUUGAAAUUUAUGAAAUAAAAAAAAUAGAGCCUUUAAUUUUUUUUUUUCAUUAUGAUGCAUGAUUACUAAUAUUUUUUUUUAACUAAGAUAUUUUAAAAAGUAAGAAAUGCAUAUAAAUUAUUAUUUAGUUCAUUAGAUUUAUAUUUUUUUACUUAAAUAGUAUAGUUUUAUUAUGAUGGAUUUAUAGUUUUGUUUUAGAUAUAUAAUUAUUACUAUCAAACAUGUGUUAGUGCAAAACUAAUUUUUAAAUUUAUAAAAUAAUUAAAAAAAUAAAGCCUUUAAUUUUUUUUUCAUUAUGAUGCAGGUUUAUAGUGAUUACUAACAUUUUUUUUCAACUAAGAUAUAUGUUGGGCGUUAACUUUGUCUUCCGUUAUCGAGAGAUGAAUUAAUAAGACAUUGAGAUUGCACCAUGAAGACCGCUUAUCACUAUCAUCCCAAGUGUUAAUAAACACCUUUGGUGAUAAAUUACAGAUUUCAUUCGAUAAAGCUAUAAAUCAAUUUUUGAUGACGGAAAGUGUUUGUUUAGAAAAAAAAUUGUAGCUUUAUCGGUUUAAUGCCUUCUACCAUUCGCAAGGUAAUUUAUUUUAUAAAAUAUAUUUUAAUAUUAUUUUUAUUUUCUAUAUCUUAUCGGUAAAAAUAUUAUUGACAAAAUAAAAUAUAUUUAGUAUUGAUAUAAGUUUGAUCAUAUAUUUUUUUAUUUAUAACCACGUCAAGGUCCUAUUGUUAUUAUAUUGAAGGCAUAGAAAUUAAAAAUGUGUCACGGACGUUCAAUUGGAGAAAGAGACCUGUUUUGGGAAUUUUAUUCGUAGACCCUGAAUUUGAAAAUUUAAAAAAAGGGUAAGGCUUUAUUAUUUUAAUUUUUUGUUUCAGCUUUAUAAAUCAAUUAAUAUAUUCAUUAUCUGUUUUUGCAACGAAGUAUGAAAGAAACAAUUACAUGUUACUAUCACUGGAGUGGUAACUGAUAAUGAAAGAAAUGAAUUUUGAGAGUUCCGAAACUCAUGGGGCGAUCUGUGGUGUGAAAAUGGUUUUAGAAGGAUUGGGCAGGUCAAUCUUCAAGCGAGUAUGGUAUCUCAAAGAUGUGAACUUAUUUAGCCCUUUUAAAAAAGUGGGGACGAGCAAAGAAGAUGCAAGGAAGGGAGCACAGGGGUGAAGAAUUGAGAAUGUGUUUGUAUAUUAGUAUGUUACUAUUUUUUAAUUACUGACAAUUGUUGCUAUGUGAAUGUUAACUCUUUAUAUACACACACUAAAUAGUAACAUACACUAAAUAUUAAUAUACGAAUUAUAUAAUUCUAUUUGGUGAUGUAGGGAUAUUGCAGUUUAAUGGUGAUAUGAUAUUGGUUUAUUAGACUAAUGGAAAAAGUGUGCUGGACGGUAUAAGAAUUCUUCUAAUUGUUGCUUGGC